rnacentral:tRNA from 1 species
GCCGGAGUGGCGGAACGGCAGACGCAGGGGCCUUAAAAGCCCCAGGCCUGUAAGGGCCGUGAGGGUUCGAAUCCCUCCUCCGGCA